rnacentral:rRNA from 1 species
UAAGAGGUCCUGCCUGCCCUGUGACAUUAUGUUUAACGGCCGCGGUAUUCUAACCGUGCAAAGGUAGCGCAAUCACUUGUCCUUUAAAUGAGGACCUGUAUGAAUGGCAUGACGAGGGCUAAGCUGUCUCCUUUUUCCAGUCAAUGAACUUGAUCUCCCCGUGCAGAAGCGGGGAUGCACCCAUAAGACGAGAAGACCCUGUGGAGCUUUAGACGCUAAGACAGAUCUGAUUAAAUUUGCUCAAGAACAAAGAGCAAAAACUAAAUUCGAACCCUGCCUGGAUGUCUUUGGUUGGGGCGACCGCGGAGCAACACAAAACCUCCACGAGGAACGGAAAAACCACUUCCUAAAACAAGAGCUACUGCUCGAGUUAACAGAAUUUCUGACCGCUAAGAUCCGGCACUGCCGAUCAACGGACCGAGUUACCCCAGGGAUAACAGCGCAAUCCCCUUCCAGAGACCGUAUCACCAAGGGGGUUUACGACCUCGAUGUUGGAUCAGGACAUCCUAGUGGUGCAGCCGCUACUAAGGGUUCGUUUGUUCAACG